rnacentral:rRNA from 1 species
CCUACGGGAGGCAGCAGUAGGGAAUAUUGCUCAAUGGGGGAAACCCUGAAGCAGCAACGCCGCGUGGAGGUUGAAGGUUUUCGGAUUGUAAACUCCUUUUGUUAGAGAAGAUAAUGACGGUAUCUAACGAAUAAGCACCGGCUAACUCCGUGCCAGCAGCCGCGGUAAUACGGAGGGUGCAAGCGUUACUCGGAAUCACUGGGCGUAAAGAGCGCGUAGGCGGGAUAGCAAGUCAGAUGUGAAAUCCUAGGGCUUAACCAUAGAACUGCAUUUGAAACUGUUAUUCUAGAGUAUGGGAGAGGUAGGUGGAAUUCUUGGUGUAGGGGUAAAAUCCGUAGAGAUCAAGAGGAAUACUCAUUGCGAAGGCGACCUGCUAGAACAUAACUGACGCUGAUGCGCGAAAGCGUGGGGAGCAAACAGGAUUAGAUACCCCAGUAGUC